rnacentral:rRNA from 1 species
CCUGACGCAGCAACGCCGCGUGAGUGAUGAAGGUUUUCGGAUCGUAAAGCUCUGUCAGAGGGGAAGAACAUCCUGGUGGUUAAUACCUGCCAGGCCUGACGGUACCCUCAAAGGAAGCACCGGCUAACUCCGUGCCAGCAGCCGCGGUAAUACGGAGGGUGCAAGCGUUGUUCGGAAUUAUUGGGCGUAAAGCGCGUGUAGGCGGCCUUUUAAGUCUGAUGUGAAAGCCCGGGGCUCAACCCCGGAAGUGCAUUGGAAACUGGAAGGCUUGAGUACGGGAGAGGGAAGUGGAAUUUCGAGUGUAGGGGUGAAAUCCGUAGAUAUUCGAAGGAACACCGGUGGCGAAGGCGGCUUCCUGGACCGAUACUGACGCUGAGACGCGAAAGCGUGGGGAGCAAACAGGAUUAGAUACCCUGGUAGUCCACGCCGUAAACGAUGGGCACUAGGUGUCGCGGGUAUUGACCCCUGCGGUGCCGAAGCUAACGCAUUAAGUGCCCCGCCUGGGG